CCUACGGGAGGCAGCAGUGAGGAAUAUUGGUCAAUGGGCGCGAGCCUGAACCAGCCAAGUAGCGUGAAGGAUGACUGCCCUAUGGGUUGUAAACUUCUUUUGUAAAGGAAUAAAGAGAGGCACGUGUGCCUUUUUGUAUGUACGGUAUGAUUAAGGCUCGGCUAACUCCGUGCCAGCAGCCGCGGUAAUACGGAGGAUCCGAGCGUUAUCCGGAUUUAUUGGGUGUAAAGGGAGCGUAGGUGGGAUUUGAAGUCAGAUGUGAAAGUUAGGGGCUCAACCGUAAAAUUGCAUUUGAUACUGGCAGUCUUGAGUACAGUAGAGGUAGGCGGAAUUCGUGGUGUAGCGGUGAAAUGCGUAGAUAUCACGAAGAACUCCGAUUGCGAAGGCAGCUUGCUGGACUGCCACUGACAUUGAGGCGCGAAAGUGUGGGUAGCAAACAGGAUUAGAUACCCGAGUAGUC
rnacentral:rRNA from 1 species